GGCUCUUGUGGCCUAGUGGUUAGAGCGUCCGACUCGGAUGUGGGAGGCAGUUGGUUCGACCCCCAAAUCGAGUCA